UACGUAGGGCGCAAGCGUUGUCCGGAAUUAUUGGGCGUAAAGAGCUCGUAGGCGGUUUGUCGCGUCUGCUGUGAAAACCUCAGGCUCAACCUGGGGCUUGCAGUGGGUACGGGCAGACUAGAGUGCGGUAGGGGUGACUGGAAUUCCUGGUGUAGCGGUGGAAUGCGCAGAUAUCAGGAGGAACACCGAUGGCGAAGGCAGGUCACUGGGCCGCAACUGAACGCU
rnacentral:rRNA from 1 species